UUCCUGACAGCGCUGUGACUGAUCAAGUCCUCACUGUCCUUGCGAGCCAGGGUCUGCCUCCCCUGCAGCAGAAGCUGCCGCUGUGAGGACCCAGCUGUUCCCGUGUCUGCUGCUCUGUCUGCCUGCUUUAUGUGCUACAAGGGCAAACUCCCAGUGGUCUCUGCACCUCUCUAAUUUAAAUCCCCACCAAGAUAGGCUCCGAAAAUUUCAAGCAGUCACAUGGCUUUUGGCCAGAGAAAUCUGGCAUUGGGAGAUGGUAACACCCUCUCACUCAGCCUGUAGGCUGAGAAGCCAUGAACUGCCUCUUAGAGCUCCUAUGAGCAUGGGAUGUGUUUGAGUAACAGCACUGGGAUCCCUUCCCUGGUUGAACAGAGAAUGGAACAGAAGCCUGAAAGCUCAGCUGAAUCCAAAGGGAUUCUUUUAAACCCACUAGGUCUGCCUCUCUGAAACACAUCUCUGAAUUGCUGGCAAAAACCUUUCUUCUGGCUUAUUUCUUCUGACCUACAAAUGCCAAUAGGUUAGAGCUGCAAAAGGAGGGUUGAUUGACUCACCUUGUUUGUGAAACAUGGAAAGUCAUAUUGCCAAUGUGAUUUUAUCAAACUUAUUCUCGAUAAAGAACAUAUGCAUGUCUCACUGGGCUGGGACACUGAGUCAGUCCAGCCACAGCGAUAAAGGCCUGGAGAAAUUGCUCAGUGGUUACAAGCAUUAGCUGCUGGAAGAGGACCUAAGUUUGAUUCCCAGCACCUGUUCAAGCCGUUCAGCACUGUUGUAACUCCAGGCUUGAGGGAUCUUAUCUUCGUAAGUGCUACACACAAAUGGGGCACAGACAUCUGUGCAGGCAAAAUACUAUACACACAAAAUAAAUUAAAUUUAGAAUAAAGUAUAAAUGAAGACUAUGCAUACUUAAAUUAGCAACUGUAGUAUUAAAGUGGUAAUUUAACCUCUAUCAUAAGCAAACUGUGAGUCAGGCUAAUGUCAUAAUGACAGUUUUAAUAAUACAUAAUUCAUAGCCUGAUUCUCUUUAUGGUUUCUCCCAUGCUUUCUCUCCCCAAUUUCAUCGUUUCCUUUGGCAAACAACUACAAAAACAGGCAGCCGAAGAAAUGACUUGGUGGCAAAGAGUACUUACUGGUUUCUCUUUCUGAGGACCCAGUUUCUAAUCACGGAACCCAAAUGGUGCUGACAACUGUCUGUGUCUCCAAUUCCAGGAGCUCCAACAUCCCCUUCUGGUCUCUGCACACACCAGCAGUUCAUCACAGCUCACAAAGCCCUUGCUUGCAACCCAUUAAAGCCACCAUCGACUCCAGCUGAAGAUGCUUCUGAAGUUGCUGGGCACCGGGAGGGCAUCGAGCUCUGACAGCAUGGCAAUAUAACCUCACGUCCGCUCUAAAGCCCUGGCAAUUGCCUUGAUUCCUCGGAGUCAGGGGAUAAAAGUACAAAUUAUAAGUUAUAUGAUAUAUAA